ensembl:misc_RNA Metazoa_SRP Metazoan signal recognition particle RNA
GCUAGGCAUGGUGGCUCAUGCCUGUAAUCCCAGCACUUUGGGAGGCUGAGGCAGGGGGAUCGCUUGAGGCCAGGAGUUGGAGACCAGCCUGGCCAACAUGGUGAAACCUUGUCUCUA